GGAGUUGUGCCUGAAAUAGGAUUACUUUGAUAGAGUAAAACAUGUGGGUUUAAACCCCUCCAACUCCU
rnacentral:tRNA from 1 species